rnacentral:tRNA from 1 species
CGCGGCGUAGCGCAGCGGUAGCGCACAUGCCUUGGGGGCAUGAGGUCGUGGGUUCGAUUCCCGCCACCCCGACCA